rnacentral:rRNA from 1 species
AGAGUUUGAUCCUGGCUCAGGAUGAACGCUAGCUACAGGCUUAACACAUGCAAGUCGAGGGGCAGCAUUGGAGUAGCAAUACUCAGAUGGCGACCGGCGCACGGGUGAGUAACACGUAUCCAACCUGCCGCUUACUCGGGGAUAGCCUUUCGAAAGAAAGAUUAAUACCCGAUGGUAUAAAGAGUUCGCAUGUUCUCUUUAUUAAAGAAUUUCGGUAAGCGAUGGGGAUGCGUUCCAUUAGAUAGUUGGCGGGGUAACGGCCCACCAAGUCUACGAUGGAUAGGGGUUCUGAGAGGAAGGUCCCCCACAUUGGAACUGAGACACGGUCCAAACUCCUACGGGAGGCAGCAGUGAGGAAUAUUGGUCAAUGGACGAGAGUCUGAACCAGCCAAAAGUAGCGUGAAGGAUGACUGCCCUAUGGGUUGUAAACUUCUUUUAUAAGGGAAUAAAGUGAGGGACGUGUUCCCUUUUUGUAUGUACCUUAUGAAUAAGGAUCGGCUAACUCCGUGCCAGCCGCCGC